rnacentral:rRNA from 1 species
GACGGGUGAGUAAUGCUUAGGAAUCUGCCUAUUAGUGGGGGACAACAUUUCGAAAGGAAUGCUAAUACCGCAUACGUCCUACGGGAGAAAGCAGGGGAUCUUCGGACCUUGCGCUAAUAGAUGAGCCUAAGUCGGAUUAGCUAGUUGGUGGGGUAAAGGCCUACCAAGGCGACGAUCUGUAGCGGGUCUGAGAGGAUGAUCCGCCACACUGGGACUGAGACACGGCCCAGACUCCUACGGGAGGCAGCAGUGGGGAAUAUUGGACAAUGGGCGCAAGCCUGAUCCAGCCAUGCCGCGUGUGUGAAGAAGGCCUUAUGGUUGUAAAGCACUUUAAGCGAGGAGGAGGCUACUUUAGUUAAUACCUAGAGAUAGUGGACGUUACUCGCAGAAUAAGCACCGGCUAACUCUGUGCCAGCAGCCGCGGUAAUACAGAGGGUGCAAGCGUUAAUCGGAUUUACUGGGCGUAAAGCGCGCGUAGGCGGCUAAUUAAGUCAAAUGUGAAAUCCCCGAGCUUAACUUGGGAAUUGCAUUCGAUACUGGUUAGCUAGAGUGUGGGAGAGGAUGGUAGAAUUCCAGGUGUAGCGGUGAAAUGCGUAGAGAUCUGGAGGAAUACCGAUGGCGAAGGCAGCCAUCUGGCCUAACACUGACGCUGAGGUGCGAAAGCAUGGGGAGCAAACAGGAUUAGAUACCCUGGGUAGUCCAUGCCGUAAACGAUGUCUACUAGCCGUUGGGGCCUUUGAGGCUUUAGUGGCGCAGCUAACGCGAUAAGU